GAUUAAAAUGGUAUAACCAUUGCAACAGAAUGGAACAUAUCACGUUUCUCAUUUUUCCCCCACUAAGCAUGAGUCUUUUGCAGAUGUAAAAUGCAGUCUUGUCUAAUUAUAAAACCUGGCUGAAGAGCUACAGCUUUCUAACUUUUAUACUGAUGAAGUGGAUAUUAGAAAGAAAAUGUUGGCUUCAUGUACAGUCUGAAGAAGUCCUCCGUUUGGGAUUUUCCAUAUCAAUAAUUUAUCAGGGGAAAAUGACUCAAGUAGUUACAUGCAGCCUGCUGUUAAAAGGCUCGCUUGCAUGCUUUCCCUAUUUAAGGCAAAUAACAAAAGAGCCAAAUUAUCAAGCAGGUCUUAACUGUAACUGGGAUGUUAAAUCUACUAUGUCAUUAUGCCAAUUUAGUAACAUUAAUGAUCUGUAAUAUUAAUUCAUCAUCCUGGAACAUAGGGAAGGUUUGCCAUAAUUAACUAUAUUAAGCCACAAUUAAAAAGUCAUCCAGGCUGUUGUAAAGAUUCGAGUGAUGAUAAGGAUGUUCGUUAUAUUGCAAACCUUUCUGACCAUGGACAUUUUGAACAUAAGACUUUGUUACCAACAGCCCCCCCACCCCGCUUGGAAUUCAGAUGUGUCGAAAGAGCAGCCACCCACGAGGUGGUAGCAGCGACCAGACCCCUUAUCAGCCAUUUAGAUCGCUUUCUGUGGCUUAACACUUUCUUACAGGGAGAAUCAGCUUUGAAAGAGGUACAACCUUUUAGCAUAUCUACUUUAAUUCCUCAAGGGGGAGCAAAAAUGGGCUGUCUAGCGAAAUUCACAUCUGUGGGACAGACUAUCUACUCCUCUGAGAUUAGGGUCAUCUUUGAAAGUCACGUUUCAAACUGCUCAAAAUGAACAUUUUGAUGUUUUAAAAUGGAGAUCCUGUAACGUCUAAGCCUAAAUCCGAGUCUCCUAUCACCAGAUGUCUACAAGCUCCUAGUUCUCCUCCCCACCUGUUUGAAGUCUUUAUUGUGGAUGGGAAUCUUUGAGUCACAGACAAUAUUGGGUGAAAGAUAAAUGGGACCAGGAAAGGGGUGAGUUGCAGCCCAGACUAUGACUGAUGUAACCGUCCAGCCCAAAGGACCCCCUUUAUCAGUGACCCCCAACCUUUCUGGCACCAGGGACUGAUUCUAUGGAAGACAGUUUUUUCAGUGACCGGGGAUGGGCAGGGGUAUGGGUUCCAGGAUGAUUCAAACACAUCCCAUUUAUUGUGCACUUUAUUUCUAUUAUCAUUACAUCAGUUGCUCCUUCAGAUCAUCAGGCAUUAGAUCCCGGAGGUUGGGGGCCCCUGAUGGGGCAAACCAGUGGAUGAUAAAGGACUAUUUCCUCCGCAUUUUAAAACCCCAACUUUUCUUUAUACCCACUGUUAUUAGCCUUGCCAUUAGUGGUCAUGAAUUCUUCCUCCCUAAAGCAACAUUUAGAAUGCUGCUAUCUCUGUGUACAAACACCCCCUUCAGUUGCAUUUGUAAUCACUGUCACUGCUGUGGGAAGCUGAGGGAAGAAGGAAGUGUAAAUGGUAACUUGCACACACGUGUAACUGAAAGUAAUUUAGGACAACCGAAGGAGGAGGCACAUCACCAACUUGGUCUGAAGGAAGGACUAGGGGUUGGUGUUUGCAGAGAUUCAUAAAGGACUCCUGUGUAUCUGGGUGUGGCUGUUCUUUUGCCCAUGAAGCCUAGAGCUGCAUCGCAAAUCCGAAAGCCUGCCUGACACAGGAUUGCUCAACAUCUAAUCAAGAUUUUCAAGGAGAAGAAACUGCAGGGAGUCCCCUCACACCAUGUGCCUUUCUUUCUGUUUUUCUUUUUUGCACUGUUGCUGGAGAUACUGCAAUACUAGGUCGACACAUGGAGAGAACAGAGCAAGCUCCUAUUCCAACUCCCUGCUCCAAAAAUCCAGAGAGUACAUUGUCCUUGAUAGAAGACGCAUCAGAUAUUAAACAGGACUGUCUACAGAGUAACUUCCAGUGCUGGUAAGUGGAGAGGAAGCUACUAAGAGAGGAGAGGAGCACCUGGCCAUGCUGACAAAAAGGCACCCUAGACACCCUUGGUGUGAUAUGGAAGUAUGGAUGUGAGAGUUGGACCAUGAAGAAUGCUGAGUGCCGAAAAAUUGAUGCUUUUGAG